CGCCGCGGUCCGUGAGGCGGGCGCAGGCGAAAGACGCUCCGAGCGGCUCGAAAAAAGCAUUUUUACUGGGGAGAAAACAUCUGGAUUUCAGCAUCCACAAAAUCUUUCUUUUUUUCUCCCCAGGAACAGCAGCUGUGACUUCCAUUUUAGCUGUUCCUCCAUCUUCUUUUCCAUAAAUAAAAUGCUUUUUCAGUCUCUGUUU